GGCUCUGUAGUACAAUGGAUAGUAUGUGGGUUUCCGGAACCCAAGAUGCAGGUUCGAUUCCUGCCAGGGCCA
rnacentral:tRNA from 1 species